rnacentral:tRNA from 1 species
GGCGCCGUGGCUUAGUUGGCUAAAGCACCUGUCUAGUAAACGGGAGGUCCUGGGUCCGAUUCCUAGCAGUGCCU